rnacentral:lncRNA from 1 species
GAGAAACAAGAGUAGGAAUAUGAGCAUAAAUGGUAGACUACAAUAAGAAUUUGGUAAUCCAUCUAUGAGAAGCAUAGUGUUAUAUAGUGUUUAUUUUUUACUGCAAUACUGAAAUGAUUUGCCAUACUAUUUUUAUAGGCUUGAGGUGCUGAUGAUGAGUCUGACAAGUCAAAGUCUGAGAUUAAUGGUGAUGAGGACGAUGAGAGCAGUGGAGACGUUAGUUGGGAUUAAGCUAUACAACUUUUUUGUACUUAAAACUUGGAAACUAUGUUGACUUAUUAUUUUGUUUUAAUUAAUGUAGGAGGAAGACAAUGAGUAAGCGCUAUCACAUAAAACUGGAUUUUGGAUUCAAGGUGAGAGCUAACAAACAAUCUUCCUUCAUUAAUUUGUGUUUGGGCUAUUUUGUAAAAUGCUUGAAUUCAAAGUGAUUUAAUUGAAUUGGUAAAUUAGGAUUUCAUGAAGAAUUAUCCUGUAAAAAUUGGGCUUUAUGUAAAUUUUAUUGAAAGUAAUUAUAGUUAAUACGAUUUUCCUCCUUUUUCUUCUGUUGUGAAAGUUGCUAAGGUGUUAGUUUUUCUUUUUCACCAAGGGGACAAGCGUCUCUUCCCUUCCAUUAACUCGAGCAAAAAAGAGAGGAAACAUAUGCCCUGAUUUUCCCUUUUGGUAACGAAUACCGGGGAAUUCCCCUUUUUCGCCUUCUCCUGCCUCUUACUAUGCUUGAUAUACAUACUUAUUUUGAAAGAACGGGUGAAGGAAGAGGAGGUUGGGUGUUUUUUGACCCAUGAUAAAUAUUUAAUGUGUUACAGCAAGCAGCUCAUAUAUUUUUAAAUCAUUAAAGCUCAUUCCUGUUAAAAAUGUUAGAGAGAAAAACAUUAAUUUAUUCAUAUCUUCAAAACACCUCUUAUGGUACAUGUAGAUUUAAUUUUUCUAUAGAAUGACAUGUAUAAUUUUGACGAGGAUGAUAUUAUUGUUCUGCGGAUUUCCAUCUGGUUGUACAUUACCAAUACAGGUCUAGGCUUAGAGUUCGAUUAGAGACUCGGAGCUCAGUUAUCUACUAGGUCGAGAAAAUUGUUGAUCAGGUCAAUCGCUCUAAGCUUGUGGUUGACUACUUACGUGGCCCAUUUUGUUUAUAUUUCGUUGCAAGCUCCAAUUCAUACAUAGUUUUUGUUAUUGCAGGAGUUAAGAGGAAGAGGACAAACCAAACGAUCAAGGAUUUAGCAAUGCAUUUUUGAAGUGAAGUCCAGGAAACUAUAUUAGUUAAGUGAAGCCAGCAUUCUGCUAAAGCGAACAAAAAGAUUAUGACGAUUGAGGAUGAUCAAAGUCACAUUUCACUUAUUAUCCUUCGUUCCCAUCUCUUUUUGAGUAAUGAUCAUUUUUAGUAUCUUGUGGCUGCCCAACAUUUCAAACAUUCCAAAAACAUUGUAGAUGUAAAUUCUACAUUAUGCGAGGAAUUUCCCUUUUCUUUUCUUUCCUUUUCGAAAUGGAGAAUCAAGUAAGCUGUCAUUUCCAUUUGCAAUAGUGUAGGCUCUUACUGUGAUGUGCUGUUGCACAUGUUCACGUAUGUGUGCACAUAUUUACGUAUAUAUAUGUUUGUGCUAGACGUAUGAUACCAAAAAAAAAAAAUAAUGUUAUUUGUAAGCAGUGCUUACCUAUCAUAGGUAGAAGUAAGAUAAUUGUCACAUUUUCCUAUAAAUUUGGAGUGAUGAUAUUUGUAAACAGUGCACUACAAACAACCUAUGCUUACCUAGUUGCUGUUAGCAUAUGCUGUAGUAAAAUCCCCAAACAUUUCUUUUUCUUCUUA